rnacentral:rRNA from 1 species
UAGGGAAUCUUCGGCAAUGGGGGCACCCCUGGUCGAGCAUCCCGCGUGAGUGAAGAAGGAUUUCGGAUCGUAAAGAUCUGUUAUUAAGUCAAGAUCGAGUGUGAGAGUUGAAAGUUCACACUGUGACGGUAGCUUCCCAGAAAGUGACGGCUAACUAUCUGUCUCCAUCCGCGUUGAUACGUAGGUCCCGAGCGUUGUCCGGAUUAAUUGGGCGUAAAGCGAGCACAGGCGAAAUGAUAAGUCUGAAUUUAAAGGCUGUGGUUCAACCAUAGUUCGCUUUGGAAACUGUCAAACUUGAGGGCAGAAGGGGCGAGUGGAAUUCCAUGUGUAGCGGUGAAAUGCGUCGAUAUUUGGAGGAACACCGGCGGCGAAACCUGCUCUCUCGUCUGUAAGUGACGAUGAGGCUCGAAAUCAUGGGGAGCAAACAGGAUUAGAUGCACUGGAAGAACACACCGUCAUCGAUGACUACUUGAAGUUGUGUCCAAUCCGGGACUCAGAGGCGCAGCUACCGCAUUGAUCACUCCGCCUGGGGAGCAUGAAAANNGGAGGUUG